UACGGGGGGUGCGAGCGUUGUCCGGAAUCACUGGGCGUAAAGGGCGCGUAGGUGGUUUGAUAAGGGUGUGGUGAAAGUCCGGAGCUCAACUCCGGAUCUGCCGUGCCGACUGUCAAACUCGAGGGCUGUAGAGGCAGACGGAAUUCCGGGUGUAGCGGUGGAAUGCGUAGAUAUCGUAAGGAAGACCAGUGGCGAAGGCGGGUCUCUGGACAGUUCCUGACGCUGAGGCACGAAGGCCAGGGGAGCAAACGGGG
rnacentral:rRNA from 1 species